UGCAGUCGUACGAGAACGUCCCGGCUUGCCGGGAUCAGUAAAGUGGCGCACGGGUGAGUAACACGUGAGUAAUCUGCCUUCAAGCUUGGAAUAACACUGCGAAAGCGGUGCUAAUACCGAAUAAGACCACGGUAUCAUAUGAUACAGUGGGAAAAGAUGGCCUCUGUUUCAUGCUAUCACUUGAAGACGAGCUCGCGGACCAUUAGCUUGUUGGUAGGGUAAUGGCCUACCAAGGCCCAGAUGGUUAGCUGGUCUGAGAGGAUGAUCAGCCACACUGGAACUGAGACACGGUCCAGACUCCUACGGGAGGCAGCAGUGGGGAAUAUUGCGCAAUGGGGGAAACCCUGACGCAGUGACGCCGUGUGAGUGAUGAAGGUUUUCGGAUCGUAAAGCUCUGUCAGAUGGGAAGAAUAAAGGCAGGGAAAAUAUUUCUGCCUGAUGACGGUACCAUCAGAGGAAGCACCGGCUAACUCCGUGCCAGCAGCCGCGGUAAUACGGAGGGUGCAAACGUUGUUCGGAAUUACUGGGCGUAAAGCGCAUGUAGGCGGAUAUGUAGGUCAGAUGUGAAAUCCCUUGGCUCAACCAAGGAAGUGCAUCUGAAACCACAUAUCUUGAGUAUGACAGAGGGAAGUGGAAUUUCCAGUGUAGAGGUGAAAUUCAUAGAUAUUGGAAAGAACACCGGUGGCGAAGGCGGCUUUCUGGGUCAUAACUGACGCUGAGAUGCGAAA
rnacentral:rRNA from 1 species